UCUACUAAUAAGGGAGUAGAACGGACUCGAUGCGAGGUGGAGAUAAUAAAAUCAAAAAUGGGAGGGGGAUCAACCCCUAUUUAUAGGUUCUUUCGACGAUCAGGAUCGACAUCGAGUACCAUGCCUAACCCGGAGAUCAUGACAUGUGGCAGCAAUCUCGAUUGAUCAUCUCAGCGCCCAUUCGGUGCACCACCAUUCUGAUCUUGCCGAGUAGGCUUAAUCUGCAUGACCACAAAUUGACCAAUGGGCAACUGACAUGAGGACGACUCGGGUAUGCAUGCUCAUUAUUACCCUACCAGUCAAUCUUCUAUCAUUAAUAUGAAAGAUCAUCUCGAGCUUUGCGGUAUUUAUUGCCAUACGAUCUGCGAUGGGACUGUGCUGCCACACGAAAAGACAAGACGACGGCCUGCCCUACGAAGCGACAAUCGAGUGACAGUCAGCUAAAGCAACUUGGAUCGAUUCAGAGACGAACUUCAUUCACCUGACUAACUACGAAGUCAGACUCGGGAGUUGGGGAGUUAGGGG
rnacentral:lncRNA from 1 species